UUGGGUUAUGGAGAUAUGUAUCCACAGACAUGGUCUGGUAUGUUGGUGGGUGCCCUUUGUGCUCUAGCUGGGGUUCUCACUAUUGCCAUGCCUGUUCCAGUAAUUGUGAAUAAU